rnacentral:rRNA from 1 species
UACGGAGGAUGCAAGCGUUAUCCGGAAUGAUUGGGCGUAAAGCGUCCGCAGGUGGCUAUGUAAGUCUGCUGUUAAAGAGUGAGGCUCAACCUCAUAAAAGCAGUGGAAACUACAUGGCUAGAGUGCGUUCGGGGCAGAGGGAAUUCCUGGUGUAGCGGUGAAAUGCGUAGAGAUCAGGAAGAACACCGGUGGCGAAAGCGCUCUGCUAGGCCGUAACUGACACUGAGGGACGAAAGCUAGGGGAGCGAAUGGG